rnacentral:tRNA from 1 species
GGGGUAUUAGCUCAUUUGGUAGAGCGCUUCUAUGGCAUAGAAGAGGUGAGGAGUUCGAAUCUCCUAUACUCCACCA